rnacentral:lncRNA from 1 species
GAUUGUCAUUUUGUGAGAGAUCUGUUAGCUGGUGGGCUUAUUACUCUCUCUCAUGUCCCUACUUCUCGUCAGCUAGCUGACCUUCUCACCGAGCCACUUCCUGGCACUAUCCUACAUCUUUUGCUGGUCAAGCUGAAUCUGGUCUCCCCCUCCAACUUGAGGGAGGUGUUGAGCUACAAGAUUAUCUAGCUUCAAAACCUAUACACAUACAUUG